AUUGAACGCUGGCGGCAGGCUUAACACAUGCAAGUCGAGCGGGGAAAAGUAGCUUGCUACUUAACCUAGCGGCGGACGGGUGAGUAAUGCUUAGGAAUCUGCCUAUUAGUGGGGGACGACAUCUCGAAAGGGAUGCUAAUACCGCAUACGUCCUACGGGAGAAAGCAGGGGACCUUCGGGCCUUGCGCUAAUAGAUGAGCCUAAGUCGGAUUAGCUAGUUGGUGGGGUAAAGGCCUACCAAGGCGACGAUCUGUAGCGGGUCUGAGAGGAUGAUCCGCCACACUGGGACUGAGACACGGCCCAGACUCCUACGGGAGGCAGCAGUGGGGAAUAUUGGACAAUGGGGGGAACCCUGAUCCAGCCAUGCCGCGUGUGUGAAGAAGGCCUUUUGGUUGUAAAGCACUUUAAGCGAGGAGGAGGCUACCGAGAUUAAUACUCUUGGAUAGUGGACGUUACUCGCAGAAUAAGCACCGGCUAACUCUGUGCCAGCAGCCGCAGUAAGAC
rnacentral:rRNA from 1 species